rnacentral:misc_RNA from 1 species
AUUUUCCUCAAUAACCAAGUGAUGUGGGACUUAACAACUUUAGGAAUAAUUUUUUUAAUUAAUUAAAAGUAUCGAUGUGGCUUCUAAUCAAUUACCUAUGGUACCAAUUUUGGCCAUAUUUGCCAUAUUCGCUCACUUCCCUUGGGUACCGCGAUCUGGGUUGCACGUUCUAAUCCGCAGAACAUUUGUGUCCCAAAUAGCUAGGGGACGCGAUCCAGGUCAUCCAAAUGGGAGUUCUAGCAGGCAAGAAAGGAAAAGAAGAAGAAGAAGAAAAGGAGGUGAAGUGAGAAGUUACCUAAAAUUGCACCAAGAGAAAUCACCAAAAAAGUAAAAGAAGAA